CUACGGGGGGCACCAGUGGGGAAUCUUAGACAAUGGGGGCAACCCUGAUCUAGCCAUGCCGCGUGAGUGAUGAAGGCCCUAGGGUCGUAAAGCUCUUUCGCCAGGGAAGAUAAUGACGGUACCUGGUAAAGAAGUCCCGGCUAACUCCGUGCCAGCAGCCGCGGUAAUACGGAGGGGACUAGCGUUGUUCGGAAUUACUGGGCGUAAAGCGCGCGUAGGCGGACUAUUAAGUCAGGGGUGAAAUCCCGGGGCUCAACCCCGGAACUGCCUCUGAUACUGGUAGUCUUGAGUUUGAGAGAGGUGAGUGGAAUUCCGAGUGUAGAGGUGAAAUUCGUAGAUAUUCGGAGGAACACCAGUGGCGAAGGCGGCUCACUGGCUCGAUACUGACGCUGAGGUGCGAAAGUGUGGGGAGCAAACAGGAUUAGAUACCCGCGUAGUC
rnacentral:rRNA from 1 species